rnacentral:rRNA from 1 species
CGUCAAGCCAUGGAAGCCGGGAGUGCCUGAAGUGCGUGACCGCAAGGAGCGUCCUAAGGCAAUACCGGUGACUGGGGCUAAGUCGUAACAAGGUAUC